ACGGCCGCCGCUUCAGGCAGCCGCCGCCCCUCCCCGCCCUCCCGCUGGCGUGGGGCCCGGCCCGGCCCGCCGGGAGCUCCGAGGGGGCUGUGCCGCCCCGGCCCGCGCUCCCGCGGCACGCGCACCCCCGCGGGACACCCCGCGCCGUUCACACGCGGGAACGCAGGCUGCCCCCGCGCCCCGGCCCGCGCGUAUCCCGCGUCGCACGUCUCGGGUACUGCUGUCCGUCACGCGCGGCUGCGUCCCGUGCGUGUCAGUUUCGCCCUGAAGCGUGAGGCGCGGAACCGCUCUAAGCUCGGCGCUCCGGCCGUGCAGCCGGGGCUUUCGGGCGGGGCCGCGGGGCUGGGGGCUUCCCCGGCUCCCUGAGGUGCUUUCCAGGCUUUUCUGAGGAUCUGCGGAGGGGUGAAUUGAAGCCGCCUUCUCCCCUUGUCCGCUGUAAAGAGGCGGUGAGGGAAUCGCGUAAUUAACGGCUGUACCCCUCGUCUGGCCGUGCCCUCGCCGGGGUCUGUGCUGGCCUGCGCCGCCGGCGGCGGCCGUGGGCCCGGGGAGGCUGGAGCCCUCACGCCGUCUCGGGACACAGCCUGGAGCUGCCGUUUGAACAAACACUGCUCACGGCUCAGAGAUGCAUACAACCAGUUAUUGGAACAAAGUGUGCUUGGCAUCUGUCAGUUUCUGAGUCAUCUGGGCACUGGGGAGACAGCCAGGAAAGAUCUAGGAAGACAUAUUCAAAUAGUCUUAUCAAACACUAUGCUAAAAAGAGCAACAAGCUCCUGGGACCUGCUAUCAGCCUGCAGUUGAUCUCAGCAGAGCCACCCAUGCAGCAUGGCAAAAAGGAUUCAUAUCCCCACCUGGUACCCACCUGAAGAAGUCCUUGGCUGUGUAAGAAGGCAUUUGUGAAAGAAAUAGGAAUCUCUGAUUGUGCAUUUUUGCUGAUCACAAAUGCAAGUUCAUGAUGCAAGUUCACAGUGGCCAAGUGUGUGAUGGCCACAUCUUCUGCAAUACUAGGCAGUUUAAGCACAGCCAACAAACAUCUUUCCUCCAGCUGACAGGAGCAUCAGCGUCAUCAAGCUAAUCCACACUGUGAGGGAUGAUACAUAUUCCCUGCUGUCCCAAGUCACAUAUUUUACCAGAAUGAUUAUGGAUUACUGCAUGACCUAGCCAUAUACUGUGUUUCUGGCAGGUAGCAGUGGCAUUCUGUCAUGUUGAGUUAACUGCAAAAUAUCCUCCCUUAACAGAUUAACUUGGUAUCAGUAUUUCAAAUGAAGUCUGGAUAAUCACAGCUCGCUGAGUCUUCCUGAAACUCUGAGGAGCCAUCGGGGAGCUGAUACACCUAGCCCAGGUGUCACAGUAUGGAGAUCAGUCAGGCCAUGCUUUUGUACCUGAGACAGACACAGACCAUGGCCUCGGCUCAAGGGAAGGAAGAGUGGUCUGGAAGCCAUCUGUUCCUGUAAAACAUUUGUCUGUCUUAUCAAAUAUGCUCGAAUACUUGUGCCAGAAUGGUCACAAACAUCUUCCUUAGCUGCAAAAAGUACUACCUUGCCUGCCCCAUUUCUUAGUAAUCUGGUCUGUCCUUCUGUCUGCUGGGACUUUAACUGAUAGCACCACCAAAACAGACUGAGACAAAUGCCAAAGCCAUUCCCAAAGGAAUCUUCUUCUAGCUGCAUUUCACACGGUUAUGAUCAGUGUCUCUGUGGUGUGGCCUGUCUUAACCUGAGAUCCUGUUCUUGCCAGAACUGUGUUCCUCAAGAAAUGCUUCCCAUUCCCUGGUGCAAUGCUGUGCAACUCUUUUGCUGCCAGGAACACUGGAGGACUCUAGGUAUCCUCAGGUGUUCCCACAGAAAGAGAAAGGCAACUUUCUGGGAGCUUCUGCACAUGCAGACACUACGCAAUGCAAAAGAAGUCUAGAUGGCUAAAGACAUUUGCAUCUCAAGGUCUUAAGCUGCUUUGAUUUAAAUGUCAUCUAGUAUCUUUAUUCUAUAUGAAAUCUUUCAGAGAGGUAAUGAAAUCUGCUCAGUUUUCACAUAAUCUGGGUAUUCUCAGUGCUAAGUGAAUCUUCACAGUAGCAGAAGUGUUGGCCAAAAUGCAAAAGGUUGUUUUUUUCACAUCAUGGGGCAGCAAAAAACAUCUGGGAGGGUAACUCAUUAUUGCUAUUGUUACUGCUGCUACUACUACUACUAUCAAUAUUAAUAAUAUUAUCAUUACAGCAGCAAUUAUUAUUGUAAUAAAAACCAUAACAAAAAUGAUAAUAAGACUUUGGAAAAUAUUUAUUUCAUGGGUUUUUUGAAAGGAUAUUCCCCAGGAAAAAAUGAAUCAAAAAAGAAACAUCUCUCAAUCUAUGAACAGGUUGAAAAAUGCUUUUUAUGACGAUAAUCCCAUCAUAAUUUUAACUCUUGCAGAUUCAAAAUUACUCUUUUAUAUUAUGCACACAAAUACCAUGUAUAGAAGUAUGACACUUUGCAAACUACACGCUUUCAGGCAUCUGUGGACUUCAAUGGGAUCACAGUUCCUUUCCUGUUGGAAUGCACUAACACCAAGUAAUCCUUAAACGGAUAACUUAAAAUGUCUUACUGGAGCAGGAAACCCUAAGGGAGAAAAUCCAAUACCUGGUAAGUGAUAAAUGAAAUAUCAUACUUUUUGUGGGCAUUUUAAAACAAUUUUUAAAAAAAUCCAGUAAACUUUGGGAUAGAUAAACCAUUUAACACAAACCAGUAAGCAAGCACGAGAUCCAAAAUAAACUAAAUUGUUCCAAAUGUUUUGGCUGGAUGGUAUGGUGGAUUGCGGAGAGCCUGUUCUGUGUGGCAAUACACAGCACCUCAAAAUGGAAGCUGUGGGAGAGAGACAAGGGUGGAGCCAUCACAGGGCAAAAACUGGAGAAUAUGAAGAUACGUAUGAGUUAUCUUUAGAAAGGUCCCAGUUAAUACAUAAGUACAGGCUGAAAUCCAUCACUGCACUAAUGAAGGCAACGCGAUUGUUCCCAGAAAUAUCUUGGACAUCUUCAACUCUGAGCAUGAUGAAAGGAGCACCACA